GAUGAACGCUGGCGGCGUGCCUAAUACAUGCAAGUCGAGCGAACAGACGAGGAGCUUGUUCCUCUGACGUUAGCGGCGGACGGGUGAGUAACACGUGGAUAAUCUACCUAUAAGACUGGGAUAACUUCGGGAAACCGGAGCUAAUACCGGAUAAUAUAUUGAACCGCAUGGUUCAAUAGUGAAAGACGGUUUUGCUGUCACUAAUAGAUGGAUCCGCGCCGCAUUAGCUAGUUGGUAAGGUAACGGCUUACCAAGGCAACGAUGCGUAGCCGACCUGAGAGGGUGAUCGGCCACACUGGAACUGAGACACGGUCCAGACUCCUACGGGAGGCAGCAGUAGGGAAUCUUCCGCAAUGGGCGAAAGCCUGACGGAGCAACGCCGCGUGAGUGAUGAAGGUCUUCGGAUCGUAAAACUCUGUUAUUAGGGAAGAACAAAUGUGUAAGUAACUAUGCACGUCUUGACGGUACCUAAUCAGAAAGCCACGGCUAACUACGUG
rnacentral:rRNA from 1 species